AGCUCCAAUAGCGUAUAUUAAAGUUGUUGCGGUUAAAAGCUCGUAGUUGGACUUCUGUUGAGGACAACCGGUCCGUACCAUGUGCGUGUAUCUGGUUUGGCCUCGGCAUCCUCUCGAAAAACGUUUCUGCGCUUGAUUGCGUGGUGCGGAGUUCGGGACUUUUACUUUGAGGAAAUUAGAGUGUUCACGGCAGGCUAUCGCCCUGAAUAUAUUAGCAUGGAAUAAUAAUAUAGGAUCUUGAUUCUAUUUUGUUGGUUUCUAGAGUUAAGAUAAUGAUUAAUAGGGACAAUUGGGGGCAUUCGUAUCAACACGUCAGAGGUGGAAUUCUUGGAUUGUGUUGCGACGAACUACUGCGAAAGCAUUUGCCAAGGAUGUUUUCA
rnacentral:rRNA from 1 species